rnacentral:misc_RNA from 1 species
GAAAUGCGAUAAGUAAUGUGAAUUGCAGAAUUCAGUGAAUCAUCGAAUCUUUGAACGCACAUUGCGCCCGCCAGCAUUCUGGCGGGCAUGCCUGUUCGAGCGUCAUUUCAACCCUCGAGCCCCCCCGGGGGCCUCGGUGUUGGGGGACGGCACACCAGCCGCCCCCGAAAUGCAGUGGCGACCCCGCCGCAGCCUCCCCUGCGUAGUAGCACACACCUCGCACCGGACCGGCGCCUGCUUGACUUUUCUGAUUAUCCAGGUUGACCUCGGAUCAGGUAGGGAUACCCGCUGAACUUAAGC